rnacentral:ncRNA from 2 species
AAUCCUUUGUCCCUGGGUGA